GGGAUUGUGGCUCAGUGGUAGAGCACUUGCCUAGCAUGUGUGAGACACUGGUUCAAUCCUCAAUCACA
rnacentral:tRNA from 1 species